GGGAUAUUCCUGCAGUGUCUGGCUUUGGAGUGACCUGUUAACUAUGACUACGUAAUGGUCAUGUUUAAUUUUAUAGGUCAUAAGGUCCCUGGGAUGUAUUCAAGUUUAGCAGAUGUUUAAUACUGGUUAUGAACUGUCAAGCUCAGAGCAGGAAUGCUCAAAAGUUGGGGGGGGCGCGGUCUAAGGAAAACUGGGGAGCUGGUUGUAAUGCAGAUUGUGGGCUCUGGAAGUCCCUUUAGAAAUAAUUGCCAGGUCAGUCUGAUUGAUUUUAAGUGGCCUGUGUGCUACCCUUUGAGAAAUGGGUUAGGUAAUGGGAAUUUCUGCGUUACUUAAAAUACACUGUUCAUAAUUAAAAAUUCUUUUGACAGUGUUGUCGGGAAUUAGUUCUGAAUUAGUAUAUACAGGGAAAUAAAAGUAUGGAAGAUAAGGAGUUUGGGGCUACUUUGGUAGUUGGGCAUGUCUUGAAAUUGAAAAUCAAAAACUUCAAUUUCUUCACCUGUUAAGAUCCCAGUUAUGAACAAAAGAUGGGUCAAAAGAAAAUUGGGUGGUUGGGUUGUGAUGAUUUGAUAUUUUACAGUAAUAAUAUACUAUAAAAGUAAUAACACACAGUGACCAAAACUGUGAAACCCUUAAUGAACCUAUAAGUAGGUUGAAGGGAUGUGUGUGUUGGUGUUGGUAGGGGAGUAGAAAAUGAGAGAGGGCAACUGUAUUGCUAAAAUAGUAAAUGAUGAAACUAGCCAUUGGCCCCUACCCACAAAAAACACUUAUGAAGAUGUAUACAUGUAUCUUUAUACUUCUAGGAACUUAGCCUAAGAAAAUGGGGCUAUACAAAUUUGUAUACCAGAAUGCCCAUCACACCAAGUUACUUAAAAUAACUAAACUUGGAAAACUGCAAGAUUUAACUUUCAGAGUGAUGGGUUGAAUAAAUUAUUCUAUGUCCAGAGAAUAAAACAGUCAUUGAAUAACAUGAGAAAAUGCUCACCGAUAAAUGUUCAAUAAUGAGGUAAUAAACAUGUUGCAUACAGUGUAAACACAUACAGUGUAUAAUGUAUACAUGUAUUUUACAUAGGUAUUUCUGAAGGCAAAAUAUCAAGAUAAAUUCAUCUCUGGGGUUCAAUCAAAUUGUACAAAUGACCAAACAGGUUUGGAAAGGUCAGGAGUGUGCAAGUACAUCAAAUUCCAAAGCUCUGCUUCACUACUAUAAUAAACCGGCGAUCUCUUUCUCAGGCCUGUCUGUAAAAGGUUGGGGGUGAGAUGACCUGGUGUCGGUGGAUACUGAAUUCAGCCUUUUAUUUUCCUAUGUGGAAAUAACUAUUUUUUAAAUUAUUUUUUCAAAAAGAAGUUCAGAAAGUAAAAUUUCCCCAGUUGUGUUACAUUUCUCUUAAACUUAAUUUUUUUUUCACAUUAGACUCUUAUACAUUGUAUCCUUCGUAUUUUCUGAUACGUUUUGUUGACUAAAAAUUUUUCAUGUCAAUAUAGCUUGAUCCAGACAUUUAUUAUUUCAAGGCUGUAUAGAAGUCUACUGUAAGGAUGUACCAUAAUUACAAUAAUGUACCAUAAUGUACACUAUUAUUGGAAUGAAUUUUGGCGGCAGUUUUAACUUUUGGUGGAGGGGGUCCCCAAUUGGUUGUGAGCAGUUACCUUGUAUAGAAUUCUAAGGUGGUGGUUUUAUCUGACCUAAAUUACCUUAAUUAUUAUGCCUUUGUAGCACUGUGCAUAUAAAUAAGGGUAAUGUGGGUAAUAUUACAGUAGAACAAAUAUUUGCCAUUUCUUAAAGUGGAAAACGUGUUUAUUAACAUUCAAACUCCCUUCAUACAAGGCCAUAUAAAAAUUCUUAGCAUUUUGAUUAUACAUAAGUCUAUAUUUUCUACAUAGUUACAGUGAUGUA